rnacentral:rRNA from 1 species
CAAAGGAAUUGACAGGGCCCGCACAAGCGGUGGAGCAUGUGGUUUAAUUCGACGCAACGCGAAGAACCUUACCAGGGCUUGACAUCCCCUGACCGCGUAUGAAAGUACGUUUUCACCCUCGGGUGACAGGGAGACAGGUGGUGCAUGGUUGUCGUCAGCUCGUGUCGUGAGAUGUUGGGUUAAGUCCCGCAACGAGCGCAACCCCUACGUUUAGUUGCUAACGCGUGAAGGCGAGCACUCUAGACGAACUGCCGUUGACAAAACGGAGGAAGGUGGGGAUGACGUCAAAUCAUCAUGCCCCUUAUGUUCUGGGCUACACACGUGCUACAAUGGCCGGUACAGACGGAGGCGAAGCCGCGAGGCGGAGCAAAUCCGAAAAAGCCGGUCUCAGUUCGGAUUGCAGGCUGCAAUUCGCCUGCAUGAAGUCGGAAUCGCUAGUAAUCGCAGGUCAGCAUACUGCGGUGAAUACGUUCCCGGGCCUU